rnacentral:rRNA from 1 species
UUUAUAUGAGAGUUUGAUCCUGGCUCAGGAUGAACGCUGGCGGCGUGCCUAAUACAUGCAAGUCGAACGAGUUCUGAUUAUUGAAAGGUGCUUGCAUCUUGAUUUAAUUUUGAACG